rnacentral:rRNA from 1 species
AUUGAACGCUGGCGGCAGGCCUAACACAUGCAAGUCGAACGGUAGCACAGAGAGCUUGCUCUCGGGUGACGAGUGGCGGACGGGUGAGUAACGUCUGGGAAACUGCCCGAUGGAGGGGGAUAACUACUGGAAACGGUAGCUAAUACCGCAUAACGUCGCAAGACCAAAGUGGGGGACCUUCGGGCCUCACACCAUCGGAUGUGCCCAGAUGGGAUUAGCUAGUAGGUGGGGUAAUGGCUCACCUAGGCGACGAUCCCUCGCUGGUCUGAGAGGAUAACCAGCCACACUGGACCUGAGACACGGUCCAGACUCCUACGGGAGGCAGCAGUGGGGAAGAUUGCACAGUGGGCGCAAGCCUGAUGCAGCCAUGCCGCGUGUAUGAAGAAGGCCUUCGGGUUGUAAAGUACUUUCAGCGGGGAGGAAGGCGGUGAAGUUAAUAACUUCACCGAUUGACGUUACCCGCAGAAGAAGCACCGGCUAACUCCGUGCCAGCCGCCGCCGUAA